GAUCUGGCUCAGGAUGAACGCUAGCUACAGGCUUAACACAUGCAAGUCGUGGGGCAGCAUGGGAGAUGCUUGCAUUUCCCGAUGGCGACCGGCGCACGGGUGAGUAACGCGUAUCCAACCUGCCCUUCACUCCGGCACAGCCCGUCGAAAGACGGAUUAAUGCGGGAUGCAGUCAGAAAGAUGCAUAUUAAUUUGACGAAAGGUCUUCGGACCGGUGAGGGAUGGGG
rnacentral:rRNA from 1 species